rnacentral:rRNA from 1 species
UACGAAGGGGGCUAGCGUUGCUCGGAAUCACUGGGCGUAAAGGGCGCGUAGGCGGCGUUUUAAGUCGGGGGUGAAAGCCUGUGGCUCAACCACAGAAUGGCCUUCGAUACUGGGACGCUUGAGUAUGGUAGAGGUUGGUGGAACUGCGAGUGUAGAGGUGAAAUUCGUAGAUAUUCGCAAGAACACCGGUGGCGAAGGCGGCCAACUGGACCAUUACUGACGCUGAGGCGCGAAAGCGUGGGGAGCAAACGGG